UUGGAAAUUUUACCGCGUCUAGAUAAGUUCAAUAUAAGUAUUUUUACCAAGUUUCAAGCCUCUACGUGUAUUUAUUACCGAAUUACAGCAAAACAAACUCCCAAAAAUGAAAAUUCUUAAAAGCUCAAAAGUUUUUGCGAUGACACCGUAAUAAAUUAAAUUAAAAAGGUGUCUUGUGAUUUUUCGAUUAAGUCAUUUCUUCUGGUAAAAAACGUCGUCCGUGUUUUUAUAAAAUAAUGAAACCGUGAAAUUGUACGU